AUUGAACGCUGGCGGCAUGCUUUACACAUGCAAGUCGAGCGGCAGCGCGGGGGCAACCCUGGCGGCGAGCGGCGAACGGGUGAGUAAUGCAUCGGAACGUAUCCUCGAGUGGGGGAUAACCCAGCGAAAGUUGGGCUAAUACCGCAUGGGCUCUGAGGAGGAAAGCGGGGGACCUGCGAGGGCCUCGCGCUGGAGGAGCGGCCGAUGUCCGAUUAGCUAGUUGGUGGGGUAAAGGCUUACCAAGGCGACGAUCGGUAGCUGGUCUGAGAGGAUGAUCAGCCACACUGGGACUGAGACACGGCCCAGACUCCUACGGGAGGCAGCAGUGGGGAAUUUUGGACAAUGGGGGCAACCCUGAUCCAGCCAUGCCGCGUGAGUGAAGAAGGCCUUCGGAUUGUAAAGCUCUUUCGGACGGAACGAAAUGGGCGGGACUAAUACUCCUGUCUGAUGACGGUACCGUAAGAAGAAGCACCGGCUAACUACGUG
rnacentral:rRNA from 1 species